GACGAACGCUGGCGGCGUGCUUAACACAUGCAAGUCGAACGGAAAGGCCCUGCUUUUGUGGGGUGCUCGAGUGGCGAACGGGUGAGUAACACGUGAGUAACCUGCCCUUGACUUUGGGAUAACUUCAGGAAACUGGGGCUAAUACCGGAUAGGAGCUCCUGCUGCAUGGUGGGGGUUGGAAAGUUUCGGCGGUUGGGGAUGGACUCGCGGCUUAUCAGCGUGUUGGUGGGGUAGUGGCUUACCAAGGCUUUGACGGGUAGCCGGCCUGAGAGGGUGACCGGCCACAUUGGGACUGAGAUACGGCCCAGACUCCUACGGGAGGCAGCAGUGGGGAAUAUUGCACAAUGGGCGGAAGCCUGAUGCAACAACGCCGCGUGCGGGAUGACGGCCUUCGGGUUGUAAACCGCUUUCGCCUGUGACGAAGCGUGAGUGACGGUAAUGGGUAAAGAAGCACCGGCUAACUACGUG
rnacentral:rRNA from 1 species